UUCCCGUCUCUCCGGUUUAUCGCUUGGCUGAGCGGGGGCGGGCUUUGGGGAGGAACUGCCACCCGGAGAAAGGGGGUUUGCACAGAAGAGAUUUCCUGUCUUCACAGCUGCUCGUCCGAGGCCAGGCCUGGGAUGUCCAGAAGUCCAGUAGAUAGUCUGUGAUCUUUCUCACCUGGAGAGCUGGAAGUUCAAAGUAGGGCCUCCACAGACAUGGGAACGUCGAGUGGAAAUCCCAAGAAGGAGACCCAGAGAGGGGCGAUCACAAGUUCUGUGCUCGUCCGUCUGACCCUUGACUGCCGGCGGGAGAUGGAUGCUGGGCGCCGGCGGCGGAUCACGGCCGAGGACGGAGAUCCGAGCUGCCGUCCAUAGAGGUGGUUUGCACCCGGAUCCCCAUCAAGUUAUCCGCGUGCUAGCACGGCAACACUUUUCAGGGGAAUGUAAUAAAAUCCGGAGUCUGGGCAAAAUAAUAUUCACAAUGUCAAGAAAGAAUCCAAACUGACACAACCUUCAAUGAAACGGGAAAAUAUGACCCAGUCUCCACAGGAAAGCCAUCCAUGGGGGCGGACCCAGAUACUGCAAUUAGGAGACUAAGACUUUAACACAGGUUUCUUCUUCCCAUUGUGUGUGUGUUUAAAGUGUAACAGACCAUCAGGAUUCCCACCCAGCUCUCCCAGAACGUGGCCGCGCCUGUUUUCGCGGAGCGGCGGCAGACAUUUCUGCUUCAGGACCAGUGUUUGCGUUAACUUCCUUACCGGGCCGCCAACGGACGCCAAGGAUGAUGCCGACAUGACGCAACGAAGCGAAGUGAGGAGAAAAACUAACGUUUUACAACAUGCCAAUGAAGUUCUGACCGAAGAAGGCAGAAUUUUUAUUGAAAUUUAUAGCUUGAACUCCCGAUUUGGUGCUGCUCAAUUAUUCCGCUUCACACACAGUUAAGCUCAGAGGUCUCGAGAAGGAAGAGAGGCCAUCACACCAUCGUCAGGAAGACGGAAACCAUCAUUUUUUUGAAAUCAAGACAGAAUGCCGUCAGUUGGUCAAACCCCAAAAGAACAUUAAACAGAUACAAAGUGGGGACAGUUGACCGAAAAUACUUUGUGUUCAAAAGUAAUUGAACUCGACAAGAAUCAUUCCGUAAGUACAAAGAGCCAGGAAAGGGGAAAGGCACCUUUUUUUUAAAGCAAUGGGGAAAAUACCAAAUAUGUCCGGGUACUGAAAAUAGAAACCCAGGCACUAGGUUCCUGCAGAGAAGAAGAAAAUAGAGGGAAGUCGUGUGGCUAACAGCACUGAAAAUGGUCAUGGUGGGAAAGCCUGCCGCGAGCUCCAGGUGACCGUGUCGGGGUCACGGCCGGAGACCAUGAGCAGAACCGGGGCGGCCGCCUGCUCGCAGCCACCCCGGGACUGCAUGUACGCGCCGGUCAGGCAAGCACUGCCUGUCCCGAAGGGAGCUUCCUUGUCGCACGGGCAAAGGUAAAGCGGGGUCACUCCACGACACCCACGGACCUGGGGUGCCCCAGGGCGUCCACGCGAGGGUUUCCGAACACGCCACAUGACCAGAGAGCACCCAGUUACCGCAAUCAAAGCCAGCACGCAAGGUCGAUGGCUGGGUGAGCCGCGUGGCUUGUCGGGGGGACGUUGACUUGAUUUCUGUGACGGGCACGCGCCGAUCUAGUUAGAGUCCCCUCCUUUGGUUAGAGUUUUCCCCGGAGAGAAAGGGACGCGUUGGUAACCGUGUGCACAAAAGGAAAGUGGAGGAUGGGGCCUUCCAAGUAUGUCAGGGAGCGUCACAACGGACUGUGAGGUGUCAGGUGGGAACGAACGCAGCCCCAGAAAUCAAUGCAUUAGGAUAAUAAUAAAAACAUGCAAUCGUAAAACAUAACAAAGUAAAAAUAAAAACAUAAUACGGUCAUAAGAGAAAGGUAUAAAAUUGGGGGCGCCGGGGGGCUCAGUAGGUUAAGCAUCCGACUUUGGCUCAGGUCAAGAUCCUGCACUUUGUGGGUUCA